GUCAAGGGAAUGCCUGCCCUCCCUCACGUCAAUAAACACCAUCUCUUCUGGGCACCAGCUCCGCAACCCAUUCAACAGCAAGCGCUAAGGAUUUCUCUGGAGGGCUCCAGUUUUUGGUGCCACGCAGCCUCACCACAAAACUAACCCUCACCAGCUCCUGAGUCCAGUGUCAUUUUAAGACCAGAUGUGGAAAGGAGAAGCCAGAAGGUUGUGUUUUGAGAAGCCCAAAAUGAAGCCCUCCAUUCCGGUGCAGCAAGGGGAGAGAGCCAGCGUGUUUGGGAAGCCCCUCUGCUCUCUCCUCCAGCGUUUUCCCAUCACUCUCUUUGCUCUCAGUUUGGGAGAGACUUUGGCUUCUCUAUACAGCACUGCUUUUUUGGUAUGGCUAGAUGAGUUUGCCCAGCCCUGAGGAUCUUCUGGUCCAUUCCCACACAGUCACAGGCUUCGGGCACAGACCGUGCCUCAGUUUACCCCUCUGUACAACACGGGAGGAUCCCUGGGGGUGCUGAGGGCUGGUGACUGACCCUUUCUGGCUGUUGCUGCAAAAGAAAAGCUACUCUGGGAAACUGCUGCUCCACCUCCACACCCUCCUAUGGGGAGUACGGCACCCAGCCCCAGGGGAGCGGCAGCAGGGAGCCCCGGCCAAGCCUGUGGGGAACCACGCAGUCGGGAAGGGGGGAACUGCAAAAGUAGAGCCCCGAUAUAUUAUCAGCUGCAUGCAAACCCACAUCAACAGCACAGCUGAGCCAAAGCAGCUGCUGAGCAGCAGCGACCGCGAUCUCCUUUCCACCAGACAGAAAAUAAUCCUCCGUGCUCUGCCUCAGCCCACAUCGCUCCAGAAGAGACGUGUAAAAUGACGGGGCCGCGUUCAGCUCUGGCUCUACAGGUAACCCCUGUGCACGGUGCACACGUUGGCUGCGUGCCUUCUGCGGGGCAGGGCAGCUGGGACCGUCACGUCAGGGCCCUCGGCACAGCUCUGGUUAUAGAUCUGCUGCCACGAUGAAGUCCUCCUGCAGCGGGGGCUCGCUCUCGGGGCCGGGCAUGCUUCCCACGCUCACAGCAUUUCUCACGGCUGCCUGUGCACACCCUGGUUAUGCAGAAGCGAGACCAAACCUGGGUGAGCUCCCCAGCACUCCCCUGUCACCUGCUUCCAAAGCACAGACUUCAUCUGACCUCCUUAUUUUUCAAUGAUUUCCCUCUAGAAGCCCCCAGACUAUCCCUGGUUUUGCAAACAAAACCC